GUUUAUCUACCGGGAAGGAAAGAAACAAAAAUGUGUGUGUGUGUGUGUGUGUGUGUGUGUGUAGAAACUGGAAAUGAACUUAUUUUAGACAAACACAUACUUGUUUUCAUUUGAUGACGCUAAUAAAUACACUGGAAUAAGAAAUACAUUGGAUAGACAAGAUCCUACAGCGACUAUUUGCUAAGAAAUGUUUCAAUAGUGAACUUUAAAUAAUUUAGUGAAUUUUAAAAGUUUAAUGAAUUUAAGUAUCAGAACGUUAAUUGCCUGAUGUAGUGGCACACACUUGUAAUCCCAGCUAUUCGGGAAGCUAAGGUAGGAGGAUCUCAAGUUUGAGGCCAGUUUGGGUAACUUAGAAAGACCCAGUCUCAAAAAUAAAAAAGGGUUGUGGAUGUAGCUCAGUGGGAAACUGCUCUUGGGUAAUUCCCAGUAACCCUCUCCACACCACAUACACACACACAAAGGGGGGGGGGACCUAGAAAAAUUAAAAAGAAAACUCUGCUGCUAGGAAAAUAUCUUCCUGAUUUCAUAUGUAACAUGUGAUUAUAAAAUGAUGAUUUUUAUCAGGUAAAUGUAGAAACCAAUUCUAGCCUCUUAAAAGCAACAAUUAAAAAGAUCAACUUCCAACUUUGUCUGUGGAUUUGAGUAGCUAUUUGGCCAACUGACUUAUGAGUACAAUCAACCAAACUGUAACUGAUACUCUUAAAUGAAAUUCUGAAGGUAGCAUUUUAAUACUUACAAAAUUGUACUUAAAAAAGGAAAGUCUGUGACUGUUUUUAAGAUGAUCAACCUGUGGGAAAUAUGCUUAUUAAAAUUCAUUGCAUUUGAAGGCAAUGAUAGUA
rnacentral:lncRNA from 1 species